CGAAUGUUUCACUUUUAUUCACAUGGUGAAACCAUGGUGAAUUUUUUAAAUUCAUAAAUUCUCCAAUCAACAAUAAGCAUUCAACUAAUGUUAGAAUUAAUCUUUAACUAGAAGAACCAUCUAAUGUAGCCUACUGUCAGAGGAAGCAACAGUUAGGGACUUCCACACCUUUCACCAAUGUAACAGGAAAACUAGAGGGCUUUUGAUUUUACUGUGAUUAUUUACACAACAUAAAAUGACAUUGCUUUCAAGCGUAACUUCUAAACUGCACAAAUAACUGACAAGCACUACCUUAAAAAGGAACCAUAUUUUACGG